ACGAACGCUGGCGGCGUGCCUCAUCCAUGCAAGUCGAACGCUUCUUUCCUCCCGAGUGCUUGCACUCAAUUGGAAAGAGGAGUGGCGGACGGGUGAGUAACACGUGGGUAACCUACCCAUCAGAGGGGGAUAACACUUGGAAACAGGUGCUAAUACCGCAUAACAGUUUAUGCCGCAUGGCAUAAGAGUGAAAGGCGCUUUCGGGUGUCGCUGAUGGAUGGACCCGCGGUGCAUUAGCUAGUUGGUGAGGUAACGGCUCACCAAGGCCACGAUGCAUAGCCGACCUGAGAGGGUGAUCGGCCACACUGGGACUGAGACACGGCCCAGACUCCUACGGGAGGCAGCAGUAGGGAAUCUUCGGCAAUGGACGAAAGUCUGACCGAGCAACGCCGCGUGAGUGAAGAAGGUUUUCGGAUCGUAAAACUCUGUUGUUAGAGAAGAACAAGGACGUUAGUAACUGAACGUCCCCUGACGGUAUCUAACCAGAAAGCCACGGCUAACUACGUG
rnacentral:rRNA from 1 species